UACGAAGGGGGCUAGCGUUGCUCGGAAUCACUGGGCGGAAAGGGUGCGUAGGCGGGUUUUUAAGUCAGCGGUGAAAUCCUGGAGCUCAACUCCAGAACUGCCUUUGAUACUGAAAGUCUUGAGUAUGGGAGAGGUGAGUGGAACUGCGAGUGUAGAGGUGAAAUUCGUAGAUAUUCGCAAGAACACCAGUGGCGAAGGCGGCUCACUGGCCCAUAACUGACGCUGAGGCACGAAAGCGUGGGGAGCAAACAGG
rnacentral:rRNA from 1 species